UACGUAGGGGGCAAGCGUUGUCCGGAUUUAUUGGGCGUAAAGCGCUCGCAGGCGGUCCGUCGCGUCGUGCGUGAAAGCCCCCGGCUCAACUGGGGAGUGUCGUGCGAUACGGGCGGGCUGGAGGCCAGUAGGGGGAUGCGGAAUUCCGGGUGUAGUGGUGGAAUGCGUAGAGAUCCGGAGGAACACCAGCGGCGAAGGCGGCAUCCUGGACUGGUCCUGACACUCAUGAGCGAAAGCGUGGGGAGCGAUCCGG
rnacentral:rRNA from 1 species